rnacentral:lncRNA from 1 species
AAAUAUAGCUCAAGACACAACCACUAGUAAAUCGGGUCACUUACUACCUUUAGAUUGCAUGUGCUGACUUCAAAAUCCAAUAAAUUCUUCACUUCAACUUAGAAUCCAGCAAGCAAUAUGCAAAAAGUGUAGCUUCAAAAGUGCUCUCUCUAGUCGCAAUCAUCGAUCUUCUAUUGCCCUUUGUACAAUUGUCAAAAAUAGUGAUAGUAGCUCCCAAAUCAACACCUUAACCUUUGAGCGCCUAUAUCUCCUUCAUAUAAACUCCAAAUCAUACAAGAUUUGUACCAAAACUAUAGCC